rnacentral:rRNA from 1 species
GGGGAAUUUUCCGCAAUGGGCGAAAGCCUGACGGAGCAAUACCGCGUGAGGGAGGAAGGCUCUUGGGUUGUAAACCUCUUUUCUCAGGGAAGAAUAACUGACGGUACCUGAGGAAUAAGCAUCGGCUAACUCCGUGCCAGCAGCCGCGGUAAUACGGAGGAUGCAAGCGUUAUCCGGAAUCAUUGGGCGUAAAGCGUCCGCAGGUGGCCCUAUAAGUCUGCUGUCAAAGACCGGAGCUUAACUCUGGAAAGGCGGUGGAAACUGUAGAGCUAGAGUACGGUAGGGGUAGAGGGAAUUCCCAGUGUAGCGGUGAAAUGCGUAGAGAUUGGGAAGAACACCGGUGGCGAAAGCGCUCUACUGGGCCGUAACUGACACUCAGGGACGAAAGCUAGGGUAGCGAAAGGGAUUAGAUACCCCUGUAGUC